GACUUAAAAAAUCCGUCGACUUUUAAAAUCGUGAGG
rnacentral:tRNA from 3 species